GUAAUCCAAGCCCGGGCAUGAAGUUUAGGAAACCAUGACCUCUGCCUUAGCUUCCUCAUCCUGUCCAGUCCAGGAACUUUAUGCAAUCAGAGCUUUGUGGCAUGGCAGCUUUGAGAUGGCAGAUCUACAGUGACGGUGCUACCAACACUGCAAGUUAGAUCACCUCUAUCUCAUGCUGGGGUGUUGCCCUUAUAUGAAUGAUCCUAAAUGGCUCCCCUACAUCCAUGAUCCAGUUUUAUGAUUUUGGUGCCUGAUAUUUUAAGUUUUCUCAAAACUCUUUUGUAAGCUGGAGGAGAGAAAUAAGCGAAGACCUGCACAAGAGAGGGGGGUGGGGAACAGAGAAAGUCACUUCUCAGCACCGAAGAGGAAAGUGCUGACCCAGCGCGGGGCACUGGGACUCAGAGCCCAACUCCAGAGCAGAUGGCCGCUGCACAUUCACAUUAAUCACGCAGCUUCCUGCAUGUCAGGUCUUUGCUGGUGAUUCUCCAGUACUGGCUCAAGCAGUGGCCCUGAGGAGAGAUGAAAGCAGAGGGCAGCUCUAACCCAGCCACGGUGAGGGUGACAGGACGAAUGGAAUGUCAUUCCUGCCAUCUCGGUUGCCAUCUCCUGUGCCUGGAGUCUUUUCUCUCAUGUGGCCCAGUCUCUCACCUCCUUCAGGUCUUUGCACCAAAGCCACCUUAUCAAUGCGGCCUUUCUUAACCACCCUAUUCCCACUGGCAACCUCCCCACCCAAGCCUAACGGAGACACUCCUCUGCUUAAUUUUUCUCCGUAGCGUUUUCAGAAAUACAUGUAGCAUAACAUUUGCCAUCUUAACCACUUCUAAGUGUAUAGUUCGGUAGUGUUGAGUAUAUUCGCCUUAUUUUGCAGCCAAUCUGCCUAACUUUUUCAUCUUGCCAAAAAGAAACUAUACGCAUUAACAACUUCCUUUGCUCCUUCCCCCGGCCUGGCA